ensembl:lncRNA
CCCUAGGAUUGUUUCCUAUAUACUUGGGAAUUUGGUCAAUAUUAACCAAGAAGAAGGAAGAAACACACUUAGAAGCAUGAAGUCCCAUUGAGAAAUAUUGAACGAAUAUCCUUCCUACUAUACUGUAUUGGAUAUACCUUCAAAACUCUGCUCAAGAAUCACUUCAUGCAUGAAGCUGUCCCUUGAUGAGGAUACUUGGCCACUUGUGUCCAAUUUUAUUUGGGCUCACUCAUCUUACUCCGUUCCAGUUCAUUGGCCGCUCAAGCAUCCAGACCUGACACCUCUGGGUCACCUGUGACACUUGCUCUUCAAACCUUCGAGUCUAGCUCUAAUCCUCAUUUGGAUUAGUUAGCUUGGUUGUUUGGCUGUUCUUAAAAGUCUUGAUUCCUCAUCUGUAAAAUGGAGUUAAAGUGAAGCUCAAGUGAGAAGGAAAACUUACUCCCAGAGAGAAAAACAAAGUACCCACGCACUGGCCAGCAGGGCAAUUACAACAGAAGGGGAAAUAGUACGUGUCAAACGGCACAGCCUUUAGGUUAUCUGGUCUCCAGGAAGAGGACUUUUCAGCUGGAUUUGAGAGUCACGAUGAGAAGAAAUAUUUGGGCAUUAUCAGCUACACCUGAAGAUUACUGGACAUUUCAGAAAUAAAAAUAAACAGCAAAGAUGAAGCUCCACCUGACAAAAUUGUCACACAUUUUUUAGGGGGAGGGAAAAAGCCCUUUAAGUUUACAGGAUGAACACCAAAGUAAUAAAGGACAGCAUUUUGAAAAAUAAGCUUUUGAUAUUUCACAAGAAGAGGCUUAACACUUACAAUUGUGCAAGCUUUCUCCCUUGAAAUUUGCACAUGGAACAAUUUCUUUUAUUUUCUUUUGGAUGUUCUCUAGAACAUUGUAUUCAAUUCUAACACCAUAUUGGGAUUCAAGUGGUUUCUCAAGCUAAGUACAUUUAUGAUAAUAAACAAAAUAACAGAAAAUAAAAUAAUAACUAACAUUUUGUUCUUCCUGUGUGCUACGCUUUGUCCAAAGUGCUUUCACAUAUUAACUUGCUUAGUCCUCACGGCAGCCCAGGGAUGAGGCAUUACUGUUUAUCACCAUUUUCUGGAAGAGUCAGAGAGAGCCAGCUUGCCUAAGGCCAUGUUGCUACUAACAAGUGGAACAGAAAUGUGAAUCCAGAAAGUCUAGCUCUGGAGCCUAUGUCUUAUAUUAUUAAUAACAAAUCUAUAAUUUUUAAAUGUUCCAGUAAGCCAAACUAUAAAAAUGGAAGUUCUUUCUUUAACUAACUUUUUGAAGUCCUCUGAGAUAUUACUGCCACCUAGAAGUUGUUGUUCCCUGAACCUGACAUUUUCAUUUUUCACUCACCACAAGUAUAUGGUCUCUAUUUGUUUAUCUUCACUGACUUUGGGUUUUGUUUUGUUUUUGGCUUUACGGUGCUCUUUACUGGGUAGGCCUGACCCAAGGAAGGCCUGCUUGGGGAGUAAGCUUACUCAUAUAAUCCUCUGGUUUUGAGACAUAUGUGUACACACACAUACGUACACACACAUAUACAUAUUAAGAGAUUUAUUGCAAAGAAUUGGCCUGUGUGGUUGUGGGGGCUGGCGGUCAGGAAAGGAAGAGCCCGGAGAGGCUACGACUCACAGGGGGAGACUGAAGCUGCUGUCCAUGGCAGAAUUCUUUUUCUCAGGGAACCCUCAGCCUUACUUUUAAGGCCUUUCAGGUAGAUUGUUCAAGAUAAUCUAUCUGAGGUCAAGUCAACUGAUUAUAGACAUUAAUUACAUCUGAAAACUCCCUUCAUGGCAACACCUAGGCUAGUGUUUGAUUAAAUAGCUGGGGACCGUAGCCUAAAGUUGACACAUCAAAACACACAAACAUAUGUAUACACUUUUUUUACAUAUAUAUUUAUAUAAUUUGUAUCUGUAUGUAUAUAUAUACACAAAGGGAGAGAGAGACUACAUUUUCCAUAUGGAAUUAGAUUCUCAGACAACAUAAUUAAUAAUAUAAAAAGACACCUUUGGACAUUGUCAAGCAGAACCAAUUCUGAAUGAGAAAAGGGCUUUUUUUGCUUUGAAAAAGUUUCCAAAGAGUAACUUUUAUACAAAACUUUGUUUUCAAAUACAAGUAUUCGGAUAAAAACGACCUAGUUGUAAAUUUUUCUGAGGUAUAAAAAUCGUCAAGCUUCUCAUCUAGUUUUACUUACAAAAUCUUUCCAGGAAAGUAUACUGUGACACAAACAAAUUCAAAUACUACCAGUUUUUGAAAUAACCCGGACUUGGUGGGGCUCUAACAGAAAACCACGUUUCUUCCACACAGCCCUUCAAAUGCUCUCUUCUGGAUCUUCCUUCUGCACCAGUGGGUAGACCUCGGGCAGAUCGCAUCGCUUUUGCAGUCACUUGCAGUCGCUUUUUCUGGUAUUAAGAAAGUCACUCCAACCUCCUGUCCUCUCACUUCUUAGCUGCCUCUGGGAACUUCUGGGUGAGAA